rnacentral:tRNA from 1 species
AUUAAGAUGUCUGAUUUAAGUAAUAAACUGUAAAUUUAUUUAAGAACUUUUGUUCUCUUAAUA